GAACAUGAAUGUGAUCUGGCUGAGGUAUCUGUCACCCAUUGACAGAUACCACUAGCCAGAAAUGAUUAGUAGGGCUCUCUUUCAUCCCUCACAGUUCCAUGUGUAUCCCUCCUGUGGCUGCAUACUUAGGAGAAGGGUACCACCACUUCAGCCAAGGGGUAUAUGAGAGAUGUAUCCUUCUGCUAGAAUCUCCAAACAAGUUCAUGGUCCAUUGAACACCAGGGAAGCUGUCCUACCAAGUUUCUGAUUAAUAAAGAAAAGUCUGCAGGGCAGAGGGUGACUCU
rnacentral:snRNA from 1 species